rnacentral:rRNA from 1 species
AUUACACAUGAUGCCGUGUGAAAAACUCCGGAGGUAUACGAUGGAUCCGCGUCUGAUUAGCCAGUUGGCGGGGUAACGGCCCACCAAAGCGACGAUCAGUAGCCGGCCUGAGAGGGUGAACGGCCACAUUGGGACUGAGACACGGCCCAAACUCCUACGGGAGGCAGCAGUGGGGAAUAUUGCACAAUGGGGGAAACCCUGAUGCAGCGACGCCGCGUGAGUGAAGAAGUAUCUCGGUAUGUAAAGCUCUAUCAGCAGGAAAGAUAAUGACGGUACCUGACUAAGAAGCCCCGGCUAACUACGUGCCAGCAGCCGCGGUAAUACGUAGGGGGCAAGCGUUAUCCGGAUUUACUGGGUGUAAAGGGAGCGUAGACGGCAGCGCAAGUCUGGAGUGAAAUGCCGGGGCCCAACCCCGGAACUGCUUUGGAAACUGUGCGGCUCGAGUGCGGGAGAGGUAGGCGGAAUUCCUAGUGUAGCGGUGAAAUGCGUAGAUAUUAGGAGGAACACCAGUGGCGAAGGCGGCUUACUGGACCGUAACUGACGUUGAGGCUCGAAAGCGUGGGGAGCAAACAGGAUUAGAUACCCUGGUAGUCCACGCCGUAAACGAUGAUUAAUAGGUGUCGGGG